rnacentral:rRNA from 1 species
GUUCCUACGGGACGCAGCAGUGGGGGAUAUUGCACAAUGGGGGGAACCCUGAUGCAGCGACGCCGCGUGGGUGAAGAAGCGCCUCGGCGCGUAAAGCCCUGUCAGCAGGGAAGAAAAUGACGGUACCCAAAGAGGAAGCUCCGGCUAACUACGUGCCAGCAGCCGCGGUAAUACGUAGGGAGCGAGCGUUGUCCGGAAUUACUGGGUGUAAGGGAGCGUAGGCGGGCGAGAAAGUUGAAUGUUAAAUCUACCGGCUUAACUGGUAGCUGCGUUCAAAACUUCUUGUCUUGAGUGAAGUAGAGGCA